UGUCCAGCAACUCCUAUCCCUACCUCAUCGUGGUACUGGCCGGGAUUCAAACAACCUCAGGGAAGAUCGGGAAACCAACCAAGGUGGGAAUUUCGGUCAUAUGCUGACUGGGAAUG
rnacentral:ribozyme from 1 species